ACAAAUGUAAAACUCCAGAUCAUAUACAUCAAAGAAAGUUUUACUUACAUUUAGAACUGGGUUUGGAAGGGCUUAAUGGCAGUCCUGUUGGAGAUACCUAAGGUUAAUCAGUAUUCAACAUAACACAGACAUAUACACUCCAGAAUGGCAGACCUCUGACAUGUAAAGCGACUAGUCGAGUUAUAUUCAUAUUAACCAAACAAUUGUGCGUGUUUUAGACAGGAGAAAGCAAACAAUUGUAACAUAACGUAAUAUACGAUGAGAUUAAUGUCAAAUUUCUAAUUCAUCCUUCAGUGCCCACAAAUUGGAAGUGAUCCUGAUGUGCACUACGCUACCAUUGUUCAUAAUCAACAUGUAGGGGCCCAGCAGAAGCAGAACGAUAUACCCAAAGAGAGUGUGACAUACAGUACCAUUGUAAUAAAGGAUAGUGUGCGACAAAUGACUGAACCAGUAGAUGGAAGUGUGAUCUACAGCACACUAAAACAUAAUAAGUGCUAAUGAGCAGAAAAGAUGGGAGGACUUUAAUCCAGCAAGUACUGCAUCACUGAUGAAAUCAUUCCGAUGUACACUUCAUUAGUAGUAUUGUACAACAUUUUGGAUAAACCCAAUCAACCCAACAGUCUGUAUUGGAGACAUAUGUUUUGGGAUUUUUAGGGACUUUUAGUCACCGGUGUAGUUUUGUGCAAACCUGCACACAUGCAGUGUAUCAAAUAAUGUUGAAAAAUGAAAUAAAAUUGUUUUUUCCCCCCCACACACAUGCUAAGACUCCAAAGUUAAAGGUGUAAUGUGGAAAAUGUGUCUCUGUCAGUUUGACACAUUAAGUAAGAGCAACAGUUGGAAUAUUGACCAAGAGCAGAUUCGAGGUCACUAAAAAAAUUUAAUUAAGGAAGUGGCUUUGUGAUUACAACCCAUUGUGUCUUUUUACAGCUUCUCCAUCCACCGAGUUGACAUCUAGCCAUUUGAAGACAAUUAUGAUCCAGGGAGGACCUUUAUUAAUUUUCAUCCCUAAUCCUCCUCCACUCACUGGCUUUAACAAGGUCCUCUACAUUAUGCAAUUACAUAGGAUUAUCAGAUUUUUUAUCAAUAAUCUCCAGUACAUGUAGUGUUCGUUGUGUAAUAUUGGGCACAAUUAAAAAACAGCUCACUCAUACAAUUACUGUAUGAAAUGAAUAUGAAUUUUGAUUCUGUGUAAAGUGUUACCCUUUAUUAUUGUGCAAAUAAAAAAGAAAAUUUGAAAUUAUGCAUGAUAGCUAUUACUUUUUAUCUCAAUUAUUUUAUUUUUUAUUUUACUUGUGUUUUUUUCCGUCAAUGUAAAGCACUUUGUAACUCAGGUUUAAUAUACUCACAUAAUG